rnacentral:rRNA from 1 species
ACACAUGCAGUCGAGCGGUAGCACAGAGAGCUUGCUCUCGGGUGACGAGCGGCGGACGGGUGAGUAAUGUCUGGGAAACUGCCUGAUGGAGGGGGAUAACUACUGGAAACGGUAGCUAAUACCGCAUAAUGUCGCAAGACCAAAGUGGGGGACCUUCGGGCCUCAUGCCAUCAGAUGUGCCCAGAUGGGAUUAGCUAGUAGGUGGGGUAACGGCUCACCUAGGCGACGAUCCCUAGCUGGUCUGAGAGGAUGACCAGCCACACUGGAACUGAGACACGGUCCAGACUCCUACGGGAGGCAGCAGUGGGGAAUAUUGCACAAUGGGCGCAAGCCUGAUGCAGCCAUGCCGCGUGUGUGAAGAAGGCCUUCGGGUUGUAAAGCACUUUCAGCGGGGAGGAAGGCGAUAAGGUUAAUAACCUUGUCGAUUGACGUUACCCGCAGAAGAAGCACCGGCUAACUCCGUGCCAGCAGCCGCGGUAAUACGGAGGGUGCAAGCGUUAAUCGGAAUUACUGGGCGUAAAGCGCACGCAGGCGGUCUGUCAAGUCGGAUGUGAAAUCCCCGGGCUCAACCUGGGAACUGCAUUCGAAACUGGCAGGCUAGAGUCUUGUAGAGGGGGGUAGAAUUCCAGGUGUAGCGGUGAAAUGCGUAGAGAUCUGGAGGAAUACCGGUGGCGAAGGCGGCCCCCUGGACAAAGACUGACGCUCAGGUGCGAAAGCGUGGGGAGCAAACAGGAUUAGAUACCCUGGUAGUCCACGCCGUAAACGAUGUCGAUUUGGAGGUUGUGCCCUUGAGGCGUGGCUUCCGGAGCUAACGCGUUAAAUCGACCGCCUGGGGAGUACGGCCGCAAGGUUAAAACUCAAAUGAAUUGACGGGGGCCCGCACAAGCGGUGGAGCAUGUGGUUUAAUUCGAUGCAACGCGAAGAACCUUACCUGGUCUUGACAUCCACAGAACUUGCCAGAGAUGGCUUGGUGCCUUCGGGAACUGUGAGACAGGUGCUGCAUGGCUGUCGUCAGCUCGUGUUGUGAAAUGUUGGGUUAAGUCCCGCAACGAGCGCAACCCUUAUCCUUUGUUGCCAGCGGUUAGGCCGGGAACUCAAUACGACCAGGGCUACACACGUGCUACAAUGGCAUAUACAAUACGACCAGGGCUACACACGUGCUACAAUGGCAUAUACAAAGAGAAGCGACCUCGCGAGAGCAAGCGGACCUCAUAAAGUAUGUCGUAGUCCGGAUUGGAGUCUGCAACUCGACUCCAUGAAGUCGGAAUCGCUAGUAAUCGUAGAUCAGAAUGCUACGGUGAAUACGUUCCCGGGCCUU